rnacentral:misc_RNA from 1 species
UUUCCGUAGGUGAACCUGCGGAAGGAUCAUUAUUGUAUAACCUAGGUGCGAGUGCUGUCGCUGAUCCGAACCUUCGUGCACGCCCGAGUGCCCUCAUACACAUCCAUCUCACCCCUACGUGCAACACCGCGACUGUCCCCCUUUGGCCUAUUCGGAGGGGGCCAUACGUUUUCACCUAAACUUUACGUGCAGUGUGGAAUGUGUUUUGUGGUUUUGCGAUGCAGAAAGCAAUACAACUCUCAACAACUGAACUCUUGGCUCUCGCAUCGAUGAAGAACC